AACAUACCUAAACGUUGCUUCGGCGGGAACAGACGGCCCCGUAACACGGGCCGCCCCCGCCAGAGGACCCCCUAACUCUGUUUCUAUAAUGUUUCUUCUGAGUAAAACAAGCAAAUAAAUUAAAACUUUCAACAACGGAUCUCUUGGCUCUGGCAUCGAUGAAGAACGCAGCGAAAUGCGAUAAGUAAUGUGAAUUGCAGAAUUCAGUGAAUCAUCGAAUCUUUGAACGCACAUUGCGCCCGCCAGUAUUCUGGCGGGCAUGCCUGUUCGAGCGUCAUUACAACCCUCAGGCCCCCGGGCCUGGCGUUGGGGAUCGGCGGAGCCCCCUGCGGGCACACGCCGUCCCCCAAAUACAGUGGCGGUCCCGCCGCAGCUUCCAUUGCGUAGUAGCUAACACCUCGCAACUGGAGAGCGGCGCGGCCACGCCGUAAAACCCCCAACUUCUGAA
rnacentral:misc_RNA from 1 species